CGCCCCCGCACGUGCGCCGCCAGCGCCACGCCCGCGCGCCGCAGCGCGUCCUGCACGCCGCGCGCCGCCGCCCCGCCCACCAACACCACGCGCGGCCGCAGCGCCGCUAUACGGGCCGCGCACCGCACCAGGUACUCCCGCUCCUACCCCCACACACUGUACUGUACUGUACUAUACGGGCCGCGCACCGCACCAGGUACUCCCGCUCCUACCCCCACACACUGUACUGUACUGUACUAUACGGGCCGCGCACCGCACCAGGUACUCCCGCUCCUACCCCCACACACUGUACUGUACUGUACUAUACGGGCCGCGCACCGCACCAGGUACUCCCGCUCCUACCCCCACACACUGUACUGUACUGUACUAUACGGGCCGCGCACCGCACCAGGUACUCCCGCUCCUACCCCCACACACUGUACUGUACUGUACUAUACGGGCCGCGCACCGCACCAGGUACUCCCGCUCCUACCCCCACACACUGUACUGUACUGUACUAUACGGGCCGCGCACCGCACCAGGUACUCCCGCUCCUACCCCCACACACUGUACUGUACUGUAC